UUAGUUUGAAAAUAAACAGGUAUGAGCCAAAGAAAUGCUCAGCAAGUAUAACAGAAUGAAAUUGAUAUUUGUUGUACAGCAAUGCCAUAAUAAAGAAGUGAAAAUAUUUAAAACUGCAGAAAUGAAUGUAUAAGCAAAUAUCUCUUGAAGGCAGGAUAACUUCUCUUUAAACUAUUCACAAUUUUAUUGGGCUUUAAAAAUCAUUGGACACCUGGCUAUAACAGAUGAUCAGUCAUGCUAUAGUCCAUAAACCAAGCUUAUUCAGCAAGGUUGACAAAUAUUACGAAUUCCGGUAAUCCGGGCUUAAGGAGCCACCUUUCACGCUGGGCCGGUGCUCGAGCCUCUUACGCAAAAACAACCCAAUAGUUUAAUUUUUAGAACAAUCUGCAGGUCCAUC
rnacentral:lncRNA from 1 species